rnacentral:rRNA from 1 species
GGGUCUGCGUCUCAUUAGCUAGUUGGUAGGGUAAUGGCCUACCAAGGCAACGAUGAGUAGCUGGUCUGAGAGGAUGAUCAGCCACACUGGAACUGAAACACGGUCCAGACUCCUACGGGAGGCAGCAGUGGGGAAUAUUGCGCAAUGGGCGAAAGCCUGACGCAGCAACGCCGUGUGAGGGAUGAAGGCUUUCGGGUCGUAAACCUCUGUCGGAAGGGAAGAACGGGCAAUGGUCUAAUAGGCCGUUGUUUUGACGGUACCUUUAGAGGAAGCACCGGCUAACUCCGUGCCAGCAGCCGCGGUAAUACGGAGGGUGCAAGCGUUAUUCGGAAUUACUGGGCGUAAAGCGCACGUAGGCCGCUUUGUAAGUCAGGGGUGAAAUCCCACGGCUCAACCGUGGAACUGCCCUUGAAACUGCAGAGCUUGAAUCCUGGAGAGGGUGGCGGAAUUCCUGGUGUAGGAGUGAAAUCCGUAGAUAUCAGGAGGAACACCGGUGGCGA